GAGAGAGAAAGAGAGAGAGAGAGAGUUAUUGAGUGCACCUAGUGUACGGGUGCGCGUGGAUAAUUGUCUUUUUUAUCGGUUUAUAGAAGACGAGAGAAGGGUAGAAGAGAUUCAAGAAAGAGAGCUCGGGUUGUAGCUACUCUGUACAGAAGAGGAGUCAGGUGUAAUCUUCUCUUAUUUAAUGAAUCUUAUUUUACCUGCAUAUUUUUUUUCUUUUAUGAUUGUAUCAGCUUUUGCUGAGGAGACGGGUUUAUGGUAAAAACCCGAUUCGACGCUUCCGUUGCGGAAUCCCAACAAUCGAUACCGGAUCCACAACAGUCGGUAUCGGAGCGGGUUGCGGAUUCACGAGAUCCGGUACCGGGGUGAGUACCGUAUUCCCAACAAGUGGUAUCAGAGCUGAAGGUUACCGAUCUGCGGGAGAGAUCGACGGAGAUGGCCACGAAAUUCGAAAUCGAGAAGUUCGAUGGCAAGAACAAUUUCGGAUUAUGGCAAAUUAAAGUACGAGCAAUCCUCGUACAGCAAGAGUUAGACGAGACGUUGAACGGGAAGGAGGCAAAGCCGGCGGAGGUCACGGAUGCGGCAUGGACGAAGAUGGAGCGGAAGGCGCAGAGUACGCUUCAUCUAUCAUUAGCAGAUGAGGUUCUUUACAGUGUAGCCGGCGAAAAGACACCGGUGAAAUUGUGGAAGAAAUUGGAAGAUCUGUACAUGACCAAAUCCCUGACGAACAAAUUGUAUCUGAAGCAGCGACUGUUUACGUUGUGGAUGCAAGAAGCGGCGAGCCUACAUGAUCAUCUAAAUGAGUUCAACAAGGUGGUGGCCCAGUUGACUAGCAUCGAAGUCAAUCUGGAUGACGAAGAUAAGGCGCUGAUUUUAUUAUCUUCGCUACCUACGACAUAUGAGCAUCUAGUGACCACGUUGCUUUAUGGCAAGGAGACCAUAAGCGUGGAGGCGGUCACGGCGGCGCUUCUUUCGAACGAGAUGCAAAAGAUGACUCAGAAGUUUGGCACGCAAAGUCAGGAUGUAGGACUGGUGGUGACUGCGAAGAAGGAGGCGAGAAUAUCGGCGACCGGAUAUCGACAGAAGAAACCGCUAUCUGAGGUAGAAUGCUUUUACUGUCACAGGAAGGGGCAUAUCAAGCGCAAUUGUCGAAAACUUCAGGAUGAUCUGAAGGAGUUAAAGCGACAGAAGGAGCAAACUGUUGUGAACCAGGACGAGACGGUAUCAGCGACGGCGCAGACAGCAGAGUCGGAGAUGAUCGAUUCUGAUGUGUUGUAUGCGGCGACCGGAGGUGCGAAAAUUUCGGACGAUGCGUGGGUGCUCGAUUCGGCGUGUUCUUUUCACGUAUGCCCGGAGAAGGAGUCUUUUGCCACCUAUAAGGCGAUCAAAGGUGGAAAGGCGUUGAUGGGGAACGGGACAGCGUGCAAAGUAUUGGGAGUCGGCAUGGUGAAAAUCCGAAUGCACGAUGGGGUCGUGAGGACGCUGACAGGUGUGCGGCACGUUCCUGGAUUGAAGCGGAAUUUGAUCUCGUUAGGCGCAUUGGACUCGAAGGGUUGCGAUAUUUCAGCUUCAGGUGGAGCUAUGAGGGUCCGAAAACGAGAUCGGGUCGUAUGCGAGGCGAACAAGCGUGGGAACUUAUACGUUCUGAACGGGAGCACAGCCAGAACGGGAGCGAAGACGGUUUGGGUUCCAAAAGUUCGCGGAUGUGCAGUUGCUCGAGACGAAGCGACGGAUGCGGCGACAUCGAGCCGAGGAGACAAGCUCAAGGUGGAGCUUGCAUAGUGAGCUCGACGUAGCGGUUGAAAAUUACAAAUCAAACCAAGGUGGAGAAUGUUAGGAUUUGGUUAGAUUUGUAGUUAAAUCCUAUUUGGAUAAGAAUUAAUAUUUAAAUCUGUUUGAGAUAAAUUAAGAUUUAAAUAUUAAUUAGAGGAUAAACCUAACUAGAUUAGGAUUAAUAUUUAAAUCUAUUAGAGAUUGAUUAAGAUAGAUUUAGAUAUUAAUUAAAGUAUGAAUCCUAAAUAUAUUAGGAUUGGGGUACGUUUUAAGUUGAGCAUUAUAAAUAGGCAUUGUGGCUCUUUUUUUUUAGGGUAGUACGGUUGAGAGCCUGGAGGUGCCGUACCAGAGAGAGAAAAAGAGAGAGAGAGUUAUUGAGUGCACCUAGUGUACGGGUGCGCGUGGAUAAUUGUCUUCUUUAUGGGUUUAUAGAAGACGAGAGAAGGGUAGAAGAGAUUCAAGAAAGAGGGCUCGGGUUGUAGCUACUCUGUACAGAAGAGGAGUCAGGUGUAAUCUUCUCUUAUUUAAUGAAUCUUAUUUUACCUGCAUAUUUUUUUCUUUUAUGAUUGUAUCAGCUUUUGCUGAGGAGACGGGUUUAUGGUAAAAAUCCGAUUCGACGCUUCCGUUGCGAAAUCCCAACAAUCGAUACCGGAUCCACAACAGUCGGUAUCGGAGCUGGUUGUGGAUUCACGAGAUCCGGUACCGGAGCAAGUACCGGAUUCCCAACAUGACAUUACCUGAUCUAAUAAUGCAUUUUG
rnacentral:lncRNA from 1 species